AGCAUAUCAAUAAGCGGAGGAAAAGAAACUAACAAGGAUUCCCCUAGUAACUGCGAGUGAAGCGGGAAAAGCUCAAAUUUAAAAUCUGGCAGUCUCUGGCUGUCCGAGUUGUAAUCUAGAGAAGUAAUGCCCGUGCUGGACCGUGUAUAAGUCUCCUGGGAUGGGGCGUCAUAGAGGGUGAGAAUCCCGUCUUUGACACGGACUACCAGUGCAUUGUGGUAUGCUCUCAAAGAGUCGAGUUGUUUGGGAAUGCAGCUCAAAAUGGGUGGUAAAUUCCAUCUAAAGCUAAAUAUUGGCGAGAGACCGAUAGCGAACAAGUACCGUGAGGGAAAGAUGAAAAGAACUUUGGAAAGAGAGUUAAACAGUACGUGAAAUUGCUGAAAGGGAAACGCUUGAAGUCAGUCGCGUUGGCCGGGAAUCAGCCUUGCUUUUGCAUGGUGUACUUUCUGGUUGACGGGUCAGCAUCAAUUUUGACCGCUGGAAAAAGGCCUGGGGAAUGUGGCAGCUUCGGCUGUGUUAUAGCCCCUAGUCACAUACAGUGGUUGGGAUUGAGGAACUCAGCACGCCGCAAGGCCGGGUUUCGACCACGUUCGUGCUUAGGAUGCUGGCAUAAUGGCUUUAAGCGACCCGUCUUGAAACACGGACCAAGGAGUCUAACAUGCCUGCGAGUAUUUGGGUGGAAAACCCAAGUGCGUAAUGAAAGUGAAAGUUGAGAUCCCUGUCGUGGGGAGCAUCGACGCCCGGACCAGAACUUUUGGGACGGAUCCGCGGUGGAGCAUGUAUGUUGGGACCCGAAAGAUGGUGAACUAUGCCUGAAUAGGGUGAAGCCAGAGGAAACUCUGGUGGAGGCUCGUAGCGAUUCUGACGUGCAAAUCGAUCGUCAAAUUUGGGUAUAGGGGCGAAAGACUAAUCGAACCAUCUAGUA
rnacentral:rRNA from 1 species